GCCACCCAGUACAGUCUGGGCUUUGUGCUCAGACAAGAAAGGGACACUUGUGAUCCAGACAAUGGGCCGGGGCGCUCCCAUUGGCCUGAGCUUCAUCUUCCCUGGGUCAGCAAUGUCCUUUCCUCUGCUCCUGCCCACUCUGCUCUCACCACUCCCAGGAGAAUGGUGGCUUGGAACACGGAGCAGAAACCCACCACCGGCCCUAGCCGCGGUCUGACAUAUGCCCUGGCCAUGAGGAGGAGGAUGUGAGCUUCUUUCUUCUCCCCGGGCUGAGCUCCAAACUGGUGGGGCCCUUGUCUCCAUCUGGGUCCCCAGCUCCCACCACAGAGCUGGAGUCACUGUGCCAAGAGCUUUAAGGUGGAAUGCUAUGGAAUGUUCCCCAAUCCCUCUGCCCCCAGCAGAGCGAGGGAAGCAGAAAGGCCCCUGGAACACCAGGAGCAAGAAAGAGGCAGGCAGGGCGGCUGGCCAGGUUUGUGCUCGACUGUAUUCACUCAGAGACACGUGGCAGCUUACAUUGGACAAAAUGAGUAAUAAAAAUUGGCUUUAAAUA